CAGACGCACAGAGAAAUUUUGCUGUGAAAGCAAAAAAGGGCAAGUUUGGCUCCCAAACCUAAAAUCCGUGGUUCUCCUGCCUCAUCACCAUCACGUUCCCAGGACGGAAGGACAGCGCUGCCUCUCUGCCUUUCACCCCAGGACAGAUAGAGAAACUGAGGCAGAGAAGUAACUUAUUCAGUGCCCCAGAGGAAAGGAGUGUGAGAAAGUUGUCAGGACUUGCUGACCCCCUGUCCUAAACCCAAGUAACUAGUGGAGCUAAUCUGCACCUCAUCACUUGUCACUGCAAAAUUCUGAUCUAGAUGCAUGAUUUCACAAGCUGCUUUAUGGUGGCAGUUCCCUGAGCUUUACAGAGUCCCACCAAAGACAACAGAUCUUCGUAAUUUGCCUGGAGCCCACAGAGGGAAGCACAGCCCAGC